GGAGGCUACAGCUCAUUGGUAGAGCAUGUGCUUAGCAUGCACGAGGUCCUGGGUUCAAUCCCCAGUACCUCCA
rnacentral:tRNA from 1 species